UAAAAUAACAUAACCUACCACUUCUCCUUCUUCUUCUCCUCCCAGCUCUCGUUACUAUCGUCCAACCACCAUAAAAAACCAAAAAAUUGUGUCUUUCUCUCCUUUCCCAUGAGAAGAAAAUACCUAAUUUUAAACUUCAAUUCUUCAUCGCAUACUCGAUUGUUCCAACCCUACGAGAGAAUCAUUCCUACCUUCUAUCAAUCAUUCGCUUUAAAAAUCCUAAAUCGUGUUAACCAACUGAACCCUAAAUACCAUCAAAAUUAAAUCAAAACCGAACCAAUUGUUUUGAGUUUUCUCCUGAUUCUUUAUUCUUGUUCUUCUUCUUCAGCGAAACCUGGAUGAUGAUUAGUCCUGUUACAAACCCUAGAUAAUAAAAUUUCAUAGGGUAAGGGAUAUCUCCUAAUUUGUUUCCUUCUCUUAUAAAUCUAAAAUUCUUCUAAUUUAUGUCUGAGUCUGGCUGUUUUAUUUCUUGUUCAUUAUGAUUUUGUAAUUCAAUUUUGAAAUCUAACCUGUCUUAGUUUGAUUUUUCCUCAUUUAUGGACAUGGAUUUCGUAAUUGCAUGAAUUGAUGAUUAUAUAGAUGGCAGAAGAGGAAAAGGAAAAAUAUAAGAGAAUAAGAUCGAUAGAAGUGGUGGUGGUGGUUUUUAAAUUUCAUCAGAAAAAGAUGAACAUCCUAAAGAUUGGUAGGAUGGAGUUAUCUACAAGGACUAUUGGUAUUGGUUUUCGUUUAUGUUAUUAUACAUCUGCCUUAUGUAUUCAUGGAUUAUUGACUUACUGUUAUGGUUUAUGUAAUAUCAAUGAUCUUGUUUGUUGUGUUAUUUUGAUUUUGUUUCAUAUUGAUAGAAUAUAGACACAGCUAUACUGUGUAACCAAAUUGGAAUCUCCUGAGGUUAUAUAUAAAAUGUUUUUGUUCUGUGAAGUUGAUGAAACUGCAGUGUCUCAUCAUAUUCAGAUUAAAGCUUUAUCUUUGAAGUAACUUCGUGCGAACUAUAAGAAUGUUCUGGGAUUCUGGCAAUACAGUCUUUACUUUCGUAAGUUUCUUUAGCAGCUGUAGCUUUUAUACAAGGCUUAAAUUUUGGGUAUAUAUAUAUUUUAGAGCUCUUCUUAUCUUUUUUUGAUCAGCUUUAGAGCUCUUCUUAUCAAGAGGAUUAUAUCUUUCCAUCUUAUAUGAUUGAUCUGAAUUUCUGUAUUCCUUUAAUGACCUCGUAUUAUUUAUGGAUAAACCCAAGACUUUUGAUUGAUGAAGUGAUCCAGUCAGGCUUAGUUCCUCGUUUUGUUCAGUUUCUUCAGAGGGAGGACUUUCCACAACUUCAAGUGGAUACUUGCUCUGAAAUUGAGUUAGGUUUUCCUCUUCUUUAUAUUGGAAUACAAUUAAUUAAGUAAAUAACGAUUUAGUGAAACAUUUUAGCUUUCUCAUUCUUUUGUAUGCACUGAUUUAUCAUGAUUUUGAUUUUUGAACAAUUUGAGGUGGCUCUGGCUCUAAUGAACAUUGCUUCUGGAACCUCAGAGAAUACCGAAGUGGUCAUUGAGCAGGGAGCUAUCCCAAUCUUUGUGGCGCUUCUCAGUUCCCCCAGUGAUGAUGUUCGAGACCAGGUAACUUGAUAAUAAAGACAUAAUGAGUGGAGUUUCUUUAAUAUUAUUUCUUAUUUGUAUAACUUGGCUUGAUUUUUCUAAUUUAAAGGAUGAGAUGAGGUGAAGCUACUUUCCAUGUGUAAGCAAAUGGGGCUUAAGACUAACAAUUUCGUGUUUCUUUAAAAAAAAAAGUCUAGGCUGUAUGGGCACUUGGAAAUGUUGCCGGCGAUUCACCUAAAUGUCGAGAUCUUGUUCUUGGCCGCGGGGCCUUGAUUCCUUUGUUAAAUCAAUUAAAUGAGCAUGCCAAACAUUCUAUGCUGAUAAAUUCUACCUGGAUUUUAUCUAAUUUUUGUUGGGGCAAGCCACAGUCGCCAGUUACAACUACUGUUAGGGUGGUUUACGGUGUCCUGCUUGGCAUCCCUAAUAGAAACUAAAUUUUCUUUGUUGGUCAAUUCCUUGUACAGACAAAGCCUGCACUCCCUGCUCUUAAGCGUCUUAUUAAUUCCACUGAUGAAGUACUUACAGACUCGUGCUGGGCGCUUUCUUAUAUGACGGUACAAAUGAAAACCAAGCUGUUAUUGAGGUUGGUGCAUGUCACCGACUUGUUGAGUUACUGUUUCACCCAUCUCCUACUGUACUCAUUCAAUAUUGUUACUGGAGAUGAUCGUCAUCCCCAGUAAUGUUUGAGAUAGUCCAUCUUCUCAAAUUUAUAAACAUCUAGUGCUUGGUAGAAAAAGGGGAGUUUCUCCUAUUUUUACUUAAAAAUGUCGACGUGUAUCCAUCUUCUCUUCAGUCUGCAACAAAUUCAUUCCCUACUGAUAUUAUAAGACUGGAUGAAGAUAUCAUGUCACCUCUUGCUGGGAGGAGAAGUAACUUCAUACUUAUGAGAGGCUAUAUUUCUGGAAACACAUCUAAACUCCUGGAUAGACCAAUCUGCAAGUGAAGGAAUGUUAUGUCAUCCAUCUGUUUGUCAUUUUAAUUUUAUUUUUAACCUUCAACUAUGUCAUUUGUUGGAAACUCAGCACUAGAGUUGAAUUUCUGUGGUGUUAAGAUUUUCUGUGUUGCUUGAAUGUAAUAAAUUUAGACCUUGUAAUUCUUUUUUGAAUGAAUAAAUGAUGUUGUUGGAAAGAUCGCAGUGUAA